GGAAGGACUGGAGUAUUGUGACCAGUCAGGAAAGAAAUGGAGACUCGGGAAGCUGUUGAGUCAGACUGACGUGGAGCUGACAUACGAGGUGCAACAGGUUGGUGUACGGAGCUCAUCGAAUGACUCAAGACACAUAAUGAGACUGGGUGCCAAAGAUGGACAGCUGUUUAAUGAACAGAAUUAUCUCCAAAGAGCUGCCAAACCUGCUGGAG